rnacentral:rRNA from 1 species
CCUACGGGACGCUGCCGUGGGGAAUAUUGGACAAUGGGCGAAAGCCUGAUCCAGCCAUGCCGCGUGUGUGAAGAAGGCCUUCGGGUUGUAAAGCACUUUCAGUGGGGAAGAAAGCCUUGGGGCUAAUACCCUCGAGGAAGGACAUCACCCACAGAAGAAGCACCGGCUAACUCCGUGCCAGCAGCCGCGGUAAUACGGAGGGUGCGAGCGUUAAUCGGAAUUACUGGGCGUAAAGCGCGCGUAGGCGGUCUGAUAAGCCGGUUGUGAAAGCCCCGGGCUCAACCUGGGAACGGCAUCCGGAACUGUCAGGCUAGAGUGCAGGAGAGGAAGGUAGAAUUCCCGGUGUAGCGGUGAAAUGCGUAGAGAUCGGGAGGAAUACCAGUGGCGAAGGCGGCCUUCUGGACUGACACUGACGCUGAGGUGCGAAAGCGUGGGUAGCAAACAGGAUUAGAUACCCGUGUAGUC